GAUGAACGCUGGCGGCGUGCCUAAUACAUGCAAGUAGAACGCUGAAGCUUGGUGCUUGCACCGAGCGGAUGAGUUGCGAACGGGUGAGUAACGCGUAGGUAACCUGCCUCUUAGCGGGGGAUAACUAUUGGAAACGAUAGCUAAUACCGCAUAAAAGUCGAUAUCGCAUGAUAUUGAUUUGAAAGGUGCAAAUGCAUCACUAAGAGGUGGACCUGCGUUGUAUUAGCUAGUUGGUGAGGUAACGGCUCACCAAGGCGACGAUACAUAGCCGACCUGAGAGGGUGAUCGGCCACACUGGGACUGAGACACGGCCCAGACUCCUACGGGAGGCAGCAGUAGGGAAUCUUCGGCAAUGGGGGCAACCCUGACCGAGCAACGCCGCGUGAGUGAAGAAGGGUUUCGGAUCGUAAAGCUCUGUUGUAAGAGAAGAACGAGUGUGAGAGUGGAAAGUUCACACUGUGACGGUAACUUACCAGAAAGGGACGGCUAACUACGUG
rnacentral:rRNA from 1 species